GUACAGAGCAUGAAUAAUAAUAAAUAUCAAUAUAUAUUGAAUCAUAUUCAUGUUCAUUGAAUGUUCUUUGAGCUCAAUUAAAAUGCAGAGCAUGCUUGAUAAUGUCUACGCUAUUGCAAUUCGUUUUGACUUUAACGAAUUCAAAUGAAUCCUCAAUAAAAUCUCCGUAGGCUAAGAUGUUUCUCUGGAUCUCAUUUAAUUGACAAACGUUUUUUUUAUAUUUGCAGAACAUGUUGGUAUUGGGCAAGACUUAAGCUCAACAGUCGGAGCUAAAACGGAUAUUUGCCUAUCAACAUGGCCAUAAAUCGUGUGAUAGAUCGAUCGAUCGUUGGCUUCAAUGAAAUGUGCUUACAAAUCGCGCUGGAAAACUUAUCUCUUCAACUUAAAAUGCUUCAUAAAUCUACAGCUCAAACCACGGCCAAUAUGUCAUCAAUCAUGUGCAUUGGUAGCUUGAGUUCUAGCGAUCCAAUUACCCAGUUUGGCAAAAGGACAGAGUGGAUCCUGCGCAGUCUCAGCCGCAUUUUACUGCCCAGCCCCUUCUUGCCAGUAUUUAAGGAGGAGCGGAGGGACAGGCAAUGCAGCUGUUGCACUGCUGCCGUACAAAUUCAAAAAGAUUUUCAAAGCGACCCCGAUUAUCAUAUGUUUAAUGCCAAUCGAUAGUAAUCUCCAUGAUAUAAAAUAACCAAGGACAUAUAGGCCAUGAAUGGCGCUCAAUUCCUGAUUACUGACAAAUUAAGGACUACAAUGAGCUCUAAGGACCUCCACGACUGACAAAGCAUAUUUUUCCAGGAUCAGACUUCAAUUAAGCCAGAUAUAGCUAUUUUA